GCAGUCGACGGCAGCGCGGAAUGGGGCAACCCGGCCUGGCGGCGAGUGGCGAACGGGUGAGUAAUAUAUCGGAACGUACCCUGGAGUGGGGGAUAACGUAGCGAAAGUUACGCUAAUACCGCAUACGAUCUAAGGAUGAAAGUGGGGGAUGCGCAAGCACCUCAUGCUCCUGGAGCGGCCGAUAUCUGAUUAGCUAGUUGGUGGGGUAAAGGCCUACCAAGGCAUCGAUCAGUAGCUGGUCUGAGAGGACGACCAGCCACACUGGAACUGAGACACGGUCCAGACUCCUACGGGAGGCAGCAGUGGGGAAUUUUGGACAAUGGGCGAAAGCCUGAUCCAGCAAUGCCGCGUGAGUGAAGAAGGCCUUCGGGUUGUAAAGCUCUUUUGUCAGGGAAGAAACGGUGAAGGCUAAUAUCUUUUGCUAAUGACGGUACCUGAAGAAUAAGCACCGGCUAACUACGUGCCAGCAGCCGCGGUAAUACGUAGGGUGCAAGCGUUAAUCGGAAUUACUGGGCGUAAAGCGUGCGCAGGCGGUUUUGUAAGUCUGUCGUGAAAUCCCCGGGCUCAACCUGGGAAUUGCGAUGGAGACUGCAAGGCUAGAAUCUGGCAGAGGGGGGUAGAAUUCCACGUGUAGCAGUGAAAUGCGUAGAGAUGUGGAGGAACACCGAUGGCGAAGGCAGCCCCCUGGGUCAAGAUUGACGCUCAUGCA
rnacentral:rRNA from 1 species